rnacentral:rRNA from 1 species
CAGCCGCCGCGGUAAUACCGAGGGUGCGAGCGUUAAUCGGAUUUACUGGGCGUAAAGCGUGCGUAGGCGGCUAAUUGAGUCGGAUGUGAAAUCCCCGAGCUUAACUUGGGAAUUGCAUUCGAUACUGGUUAGCUAGAGUGUGGGAGAGGAUGGUAGAAUUCCAGGUGUAGCGGUGAAAUGCGUAGAGAUCUGGAGGAAUACCGAUGGCGAAGGCAGCCAUCUGGCCUAACACUGACGCUGAGGUACGAAAGCAUGGGGAGCAAACAGGAUUAGAUACCCCCGUAGUCCCUGUCUCUUAUAC